AUGGUUGUAGCUCAGUGGUAGAGAGCUCAUCUGGCAUAUGUGAGGCACUGGGUUCAAUCCUCAAUACCACA
rnacentral:tRNA from 1 species